rnacentral:rRNA from 1 species
AGAGUUUGAUCCUGGCUCAGAUUGAACGCUGGCGGCAUGCCUUACACAUGCAAGUCGAACGGCAGCACGGGUGCUUGCACCUGGUGGCGAGUGGCGAACGGGUGAGUAAUAUAUCGGAACGUGCCUCAUAGUGGGGGAUAACGCAGCGAAAGCUGUGCUAAUACCGCAUACGCCCUGAGGGGGAAAGCGGGGGACCGUAAGGCCUCGCGCUAUGAGAGCGGCCGAUACCUGAUUAGCUUGUUGGUGGGGUAAAAGCCCACCAAGGCGACGAUCAGUAGCUGGUCUGAGAGGACGAUCAGCCACACUGGGACUGAGACACGGCCCAUACUCCUACGGGAGGCAGCAGUGGGGAAUUUUGGACAAUGGGGGCAACCCUGAUCCAGCAAUGCCGCGUGAGUGAAGAAGGCCUUCGGGUUGUAAAGCUCUUUUGUCAGGGAAGAAAC